UACAGAGGGUGCAAGCGUUAAUCGGAAUUACUGGGCGUAAAGCGUGCGUAGACGGUCAUGUAAGUCGGGUGUGAAAGCCCCGGGCUCAACCUGGGAAUUGCAUUCGAGACUGCAUAGCUAGGGUGCGGAAGAGGGAAGCGGAAUUUCCGGUGUAGCGGUGAAAUGCGUAGAUAUCGGAAGGAACACCAGUGGCGAAAGCGGCUUCCUGGUCCAGCACCGACGUUCAGGCACGAAAGCGUGGGGAGCAAACAGG
rnacentral:rRNA from 1 species